GUUUCCGUGGUGUAGUGGUCAUCACGUCUGUCUAACGCACAGAAGGUCCCCAGUUCGAACCUGGGCGGAAACA
rnacentral:ncRNA from 11 species